rnacentral:tmRNA from 1 species
GGGGCUGAUUCUGGAUUCGACGGGAUUUGCGAAACCCAAGGUGCAUGCCGAGGGGCGGUUGGCCUCGUAAAAAGCCGCAAAAAAAUAGUCGCAAACGACGAAACCUACGCUUUAGCAGCUUAAUAACCUGCUUAGAGCCCUCUCUCCCUAGCCUCCGCUCUUAGGACGGGGAUCAAGAGAGGUCAAACCCAAAAGAGAUCGCGUGGAUGCCCAGCCUGGGGUUGAAGCGUUAAAACGAAUCAGGCUAGUCUGGUAGUGGCGUGUCCGUCCGCAGGUGCCAGGCGAAUGUAAAGACUGACUAAGCAUGUAGUACCGAGGAUGUAGGAAUUUCGGACGCGGGUUCAACUCCCGCCAGCUCCACCA